AAUCCCCAGAAAACAAGCAUGACAAUUAACAUCCUUGCAGAAGACAUUGGGAGACGGCAGGAAAUUUCAAGGAGGAAGUGCACUCAAGGGGAAAAAUAAGCACCUUUUACAAAAAAAGCAAGGUGCUGAUAAGUCUUGGCAUUUGGAUGAAUCAAAAUCAACUGGGAUUUUUGAACACUUUAAAGCAGUGAGUUGAGUUCACUGGUGAAUAACUUCAUAUUCCUAAAGUUAAGAAGCCUGCCCUGAUGGUCAUUCAGUUACUUUGACCAAUGACCAAACAGAGAGAGGAAGAAAGAAGUCUUGAAGAAGAGAGAGACAGAAAAAAAUCACCAUAAAAAGUCAGACAUGAGAGCUUAGAAGUCAAUUAAGACAGGGCUUGGAAGUGGCAUUAGGUUUUUGGGGAACCGUUGUUACUUGAAAAAAAACAAAACAAAACAAAACAAAAAACCUCUGUUUGUAUCUGUAGACAAAGAUCUGUUCAGAAUGGUUGGCUUUGUGAGGUGCUGUGAGACAGAGAUGAAAAAGACAAUCUGCCAAGCCUUAGGAAAAAAAUAUUAAACAAGCAUCUCUAGGAAAUUGC
rnacentral:antisense_RNA from 1 species